AUGUGUAUUUUUGAUAAAUUGUCCUCGGCUCGGGAUGAGGAGUGUCCACAUGAGUUCGUUGAGGUGUCUACACAGGUUCGAAGACGCUCUUUUAUAUUCUGUCGAGAGUUCGGAUCGCUCCACCUAAGUAGAACGAAAAGAAGGAAUUGGAAAUUCAAAGGGGGAGCCAGAAGCUUCACUUCCGGUAGCUUGCUGACUCUCCUAGUUAGAAGAAGGCUCUUUGGCGAAUUCAUUAGAUCUGGGACAGAAAAAACAUCCAAGGAAAAUGCCCUGCAACCAAUUACUGCCUAG